CACAGUAAUCAAUUGGAACAUUGAAAAACAGAGAGAAGCGAUUUCCUUACGAAAAUAUUAUUGCUUUGAAUACGCCUAAUUUACUAUGCAUUAUUAUUAUGCCACCUGUCUACGAUAAACAAACUCGUUCGAUCAGAAUAUUUAUUUUUCAAGAAUGUUAAUCGCGGACCUAGAUAAUUUUCAAGAUGAGAAAUUUCCGAAAAGCAAAGUUUGGCUUCUGAAAAGCACUAUUAUCAUGAGAAUAGAUUCUAACAGUGGAACAUAGUAGCGUUGACUUCGAAAAUUCCUUACGGGCAAUUUGCACGAAUUGUACGGAGACUUAAGCUUGUGACUCGUCUUGAUAUUUACAACGAAUUUGCAUUGCAGAAGGCGAUAUUUUUCAUCCGUAACCUGAUUUGAAAGUCGUUGCGACGACGCCACCACGAUAUUCCGGAAACGAUGGUCUGGAAGAAAACCAGCGAAAUUACGAGACGAAGCUAGCCAAGUGCAAAUCCUCUUCGUAAAUCGUGUGAAGCUUCUUUGGCAAUUGCCACAGAAAAUAGUUAUGUAUUAAUAUCAUAGUUCAAUUUUUGUUAAUUCCAGAUGAGUUCAAUGUUUUAGCAUUCCCGUAUGUAAGCUAGAAUUUAGUAAAGUACGAAUCGUUAAAAUCGAAAUGAAGUAAAAAUCGAAUAAAUUAAAACGUAUGUUAAAGAUGCAAAUCUAUCGAGAAGGCAAAAUAAUUAUUUCCAGCUAUUCGACAUUGCAUAACGUAAAGAAUAAAAUAAAACACACUUCAAUUUUUGUUUACUGUUUCAGUAAGAUUCAAGAAAUACCCUCGCAAUAUGGAAUAUAUGUUACUCAACAGACCCCAUAAUGAUGUUCUCCAUAGAUCCAGAGAGUUCAUCUUUCUAAUUCAAGCAGAAGAAAAGCAAACAACCAAUUUAACAAAGCACAAUGGACUCUGCUUCAACAAAGUCAAGGAACCGAGGGUUCUGGUCCUGACAUCAAAUUAAUAUGUUCAAGAUUCGAACAUUCGAGAGACAAGUGCCAUGAGAAUGAAUUUUUUAAUGAAUUUACGAGGCCAAUGGACGAUCAACGUUAAACCACGAAGCAACUAUUCAGCUGUAAAAUGGAUUAUUUAUAAACAUAAAACCGGUUCGUCAAGAUUCGUCCAGAUGGCAACACCAGUUGAAAGCUUACGCGGGAACUUGAAAGCUCGAGAGUUUUUCCGAUGAGGCCGCCAGAUGGAGACGAGCUUACGUCGCGGAUGUAAAGCGUCGCUUUUGAAAUUUAGCGUGGAGCUAACUAAUCAUAUCACGCAAUUUUGUGUCAUAUAAAAUAUACUAACUUACGGAAAAUUUCGAACUUUUAUUACUUCCACUAGAAUUUUCUUUCAUUUUUCUUUAAUUAUUUAAUUCAGAUCUAAAGAAGUAAAUUUAAAAAUUGCGUUGGUGUGUCUAAUGGAAAAUACAGUGCAACAUAUGCUCGUCCCGUAAUACAAUUUCCAAAUUCACUGCUAUAAAUCAUAAAAAUUACGAUUGGCUGGCUGUUUACAGCUACUUGCGAAGAACAGCGAGACAUAAAAAUAGAAUGAAUGGUAUACGAACGAAGAAGUUCGAUUUUUAUAUUUUUCAUUAUACUCGUUACAGUAUGAUGGAUGUUUUUUAACGAAAUACAAUGAAAAAUAAUGAGUUUGAGUUAAUAGAGUAUAAUCCAUCAAUAUACCUAUGCUCUAAUAAGAAUAUAAUGCUUAAUGUUAGAGAAUAUUAUAGUGGGAAAUAAAACUACCAAAGCUA